rnacentral:rRNA from 1 species
AUUGAACGCUGGCGGCAGGCCUAACACAUGCAAGUCGAACGGUAACAGAAAGCAGCUUGCUGCUUUGCUGACGAGUGGCGGACGGGUGAGUAAUGUCUGGGAAACUGCCUGAUGGAGGGGGAUAACUACUGGAAACGGUAGCUAAUACUGCAUAACGUCGCAAGACCAAAGAGGGGGACCUUCGGGCCUCUUGCCAUCGGAUGUGCCCAGAUGGGAUUAGCUAGUAGGUGGGGUAACGGCUCACCUAGGCGACGAUCCCUAGCUGGUCUGAGAGGAUGACCAGCCACACUGGAACUGAGACACGGUCCAGACUCCUACGGGAGGCAGCAGUGGGGAAUAUUGCACAAUGGGCGCAAGCCUGAUGCAGCCAUGCCGCGUGUAUGAAGAAGGCCUUCGGGUUGUAAAGUACUUUCAGCGGGGAGGAAGGGAGUAAAGUUAAUACCUUUGCUCAUUGACGUUACCCGCAGAAGAAGCACCGGCUAACUCCGUG